UUUCCGUAGGUGAACCUGCGGAAGGAUCAUUACCGAGUUAGGGUCCCUCCCACGGGGCCCGACCUCCCAACCCCGUGUCUAAUAAACCUGUACGUGUUGCUUCGGCGGACCGGUUCGCUGCGUGGUCUCGCGACCACAACGCCUGCCGCCGGGGGUAAAGGAGUUCACCCUCCCCCCCUGGAGAGCGUCCGUCGAUGGCCCAACCAAACAAACUCCCAAACCAAAAUGUAUGUGAAACACAAUUCUGAAUCAGACCUUUUGAUAUACCAAUCAAAAACAAAACUUUCAACAACGGAUCUCUUGGUUCUGGCAUCGAUGAAGAACGCAGC
rnacentral:misc_RNA from 1 species